rnacentral:rRNA from 1 species
AUUGAACGCUGGCGGUAUGCCUAACACAUGCAAGUCGAACGGUAACAGGCCCUUCGGGGUGCUGACGAGUGGCGGAUGGGUGAGUAAUACUUAGGAAUCUACCCUGUAGUGGGGGACAACCCGGGGAAACUCGGGCUAAUACCGCAUACGCUCUACGGAGGAAAGCGGGGGACCGCAAGGCCUCGCGCUAUUGGAUGAGCCUAAGCCCGAUUAGCUAGUUGGUGGGGUAAUAGCCUACCAAGGCAANGAUCGGUAGCUGGUCUGAGAGGACGACCAGCCACACUGGGACUGAGACACGGCCCAGACUCCUACGGGAGGCAGCAGUGGGGAAUGUUGGACAAUGGGCGAAAGCCUGAUCCAGCGAUGCCGCGUGCGGGAUGAA